UAAUUUUAUUUAUAAAUAUAUAUAUAUUUAUUAUAUAUAGUAUUUUAUUUUUAUAUAGAUAUAUUAUUAUAUAAUAAUUUAUUAUAUAAUUUACUAUUUAUUUUUAUAAAAUAUAAAAUAUAUAAAUAAAUGUUAAAUAAUUUAGACUAUUUCUUCUCAUUCACUAACUACUGAGGGACUACGAUACCUACUAAAAUUAUUUCACUAACUAAUGGGGGGCUACUAUGCUUACUAAAAUUUUUUGAUAUACUUAUUGUAUUAUUUAAAUUCUGAAAUUGAUUUUUAUAACUAAUUAUCAAAAUUAAAUUUUAAAAUAACUACUCGCAGCAUCGCGCAGGUCCUUAACUAAUAUGAUAUAUAUUGCACUAGUUUUAUAGUCUAUUGCACUAAUCAACUAGUGCAAUAUAUAGUCAUAUAGUAUAAUAUUUUAUUAUCUUUAAUGAAGAAAGAAUGAAAAAUAAAUAAAAGAGAAAAAAGGAGGAUAUUGAUGUCCCCUUCCCCUCCCAUCUUCUCCUUUCUUUCCCAUAUGCUCCUUCCUCUCCAUCCGUCCUCAGCCAUCUCCAGCAUCUUGCCGCGCCCCGCCACCUUAAAUUGCACCACUAUCCAUGCACUUACCUCCGCAAUCCGUGCCGAAUUAGAGUCGUGCCAUUGCCGUUGAUGGCAGUGAAGAAGUGGGCGAGGUAGGGGGAGGAGUGCCGCAGUGACAUGCGAGCGGCGGAGGAGGAGGGAGAAGAAGCGAGAAGAGAAAGAAAAAGAAAAAAAAGAGAGAAAAAGAGAGAGGAUAUGAUAUAUUGGUUAGUAUUUUAAAAAUUCAAUUUGAAUCUACAAAAUCGAAAAAAUGGCCUAAUUUUAUAAAAAUACAUAAGUAAUAUAUUUUGUUAUGAAAAGGUUAUUUUAUUAUUAGGAGUCCGGAUGGGAUACUAUCGAUAGCAUCAAACGUUUGGUGCUAUCGAGUUUUCCAUCGUUAGAUUUAACCUUUUGACUAUUUUCACUCGUUAGAUUAUACUAUUCAACCAAUAACUCACUCAAUCCUAGGGGCCCAAAUCAUUCUAACCGUAUAUUUUUCAUCAAAGGGCCAAAAAUCUAAUAGCACAAAACACUUGGUGCUAUUUAUAAUAUUCCAGCCUAGUUUUUAUUAUUAGCUUAAUCUAUAUAAUAUCAUUAUAGAUUGUAGGUAAAUAGAAGAUUAUGUGGGGCUUUUUUUUUUGCAUUUAGUCUCUCUCAAUUUUUUUUUUUUACAAGUGACCCUAAUAAAUUUAUAUUUAUACAUAUGGUCCUCUACUUGCCAUGUGAGGAUCGCGUUUGUAUUUUUAAGUGGAACACGGUGAAUUAACCACCAAGUUUAAAUACGGAGAUUGAAUCACCGUGUUCGUAUCCACACUUUAGUUUAUUCUUUUUUAUUUAGAGACAAAAAAAUCUAAAAGGGAAUAUGGUGGCUCAAUCACCGUGUUUAAACACAGUAAAUGAAUUACCGUAUUCAACUUAAAAAUACUCAUUUAGGGA
rnacentral:lncRNA from 1 species